rnacentral:rRNA from 1 species
ACUCCUACGGGAGGCAGCAGUGGGGAAUAUUGGACAAUGGGCGGAAGCCUGAUCCAGCCAUGCCGCGUGUGUGAAGAAGGCCUUUUGGUUGUAAAGCACUUUAAGCGAGGAGGAGGCUACCUGGAUUAAUACUCUAGGAUAGUGGACGUUACUCGCAGAAUAAGCACCGGCUAACUCUGUGCCAGCAGCCGCGGUAAU